CCGUAAAGCAAUUUGUGAUCCUCCAGGUCAGGGGAGUGAAGUUGCAAGGCUGCUUCUCCAUGGUCAGGUAGCUCAUGAUUGGGAAGGCACACCAUUCUCCCUGUUACAAGUUAGUUAACCUUCAAAAUGAAGCUGUUAUAUCAAGAUACUCUCCCAAGGAGCGGAGGCCUCUUCACUGAAACUGAAUAGUAACCACAAGAUGAUAUUUCAGUCCUCAAGGGAUUCACAACAGACUACUUCAAAAGACAAGUCCCCUCACAUCAAUUCUGUCAUCUUGAUGGAUGGCAGGGCCCACUUGAAAAUGCACGCUCCAGUUCAAGGGGAAGGCGAGUGUGAAAGAUGCCGGAGAGAGGCUGCCGAGGCAGACGGCGCUGGGAACUCCGGGAGCAGCUGUCACUACAGGCAUCCGCAGGAAGCGCGGCCAUCUCCUGGGAGGCUGGAGCGGGUUAUUAUUUUUAUGCUAGCGCACCUCCAGAUUACCUUCUCAUUAUCACCACUCUGAGUUAGAUACCGCUGGCAGCAUCUCCAUGCAGGGAGGGUUGGGGAAAAAAAAAAAAAAAACAAUGAGGAUUUUCCUGCUAUAGCCAGCAGGGAGUUAAUUCAAUCAUUCCCCCUUAAAAGCUGUCUGCUGUUACAAUUGUAACUAUAUGGGUGGAUCAGAAGGAGGAUCCUCCCCUCUUCAAAAAAAAAAAAGUACUUUCAGGGUUUUAGUGAGAAAGCUAGAGGCAGGUGCUAAUUUUAGUCCUACCAGAGACAAUUAAUGAUCUUAUUUAGCACAAAAUGGGCGAAUGCAAAAUAGUGCCCAAUUAUAUGUUGAGAUCUUUAAAACGAAGACACGAAAGCAAAAUUAGUGUCUUCUGUAAUAACAGGAUGGCAAAAUUGCACAUAAUUAAUACUUACCUGUGCAGUGUAAUGCUGUUAACUUCAAUGUAGAAAGGUAUAAUGGGAGUCUUUUGAGGUUUCAUGUUGUAACAGUUGAUUUUGUUAUGCUUGACCUCAAUCAUGACAGUGUCAACUGAUAAAGCUGAUG